rnacentral:sRNA from 3 species
UUAUAUUCUCCACAGGGGGGGAUGAGAACCCCCGACCGGGGUUCGACAACUGGCAACGCCAGUUGGACAGACCGCGAGCCUGCGAGCGGGCUGCCCCGCAGGGGCGAGCGAAGCGAGUCAAUCCCCCCCUCACCGCCA